rnacentral:misc_RNA from 1 species
CAGAGUUGCAAAACUCCCUAAACCAUUGUGAACCUACCCCUAAACAGUUGCUUCGGCGGCGCCCGGACAGGCCCGCCGGAGACCAUUAAACUCUUGUUUUUUAACACUGGCCUCUCUGAGUUUACUGUACUGUAAUAAGCCA